rnacentral:lncRNA from 1 species
GAAGCACCCUCUCACACUUCCUUUAAUGCAUGGCCAGGGGUGCUGGGAGGGGAAGUCAAUGACUAAUGAAAGAUGCUGCAGUGAUUAGUUUGGAGACUGAAACUCCUGAGAGAUGAAGGUUCCAUGAACUGCAAAGAUACAUUAAUCCACUUCCUGUUCCUGAUCUGGCAUUUCAGAGAUCCAGACUGUCUGCACCCAUGGAAAAGGAAGCCUUCAGUCCAAGAAGAAAGGUAA